CCAUAAAACAUUAAUGUUCGAGCAGAAAUAUGAAAAACUGUGAUCUGAUCCUUUGUCAGCAUUCUUAUAUCAUUGCUUUGUAUAUAUUUAUGCAAAAAUUUGCUUUCCAAGACCAAAAAAAAAAAGUUAAAAAGGUAGAUCUGUGAGAGUGCAAGUUGAAGAGGGGCACCCAUUUCGAAGCAUGUGGGUCACAGCCUGGAUCAAGCUUUCUUGUUGAUGUUCUGUGGUGCAGCAGAUCUCUGAGGCCGGGCUUAAAACUGCACUCUCACAGAUUGAACAUUUUCAAAGACAAAAAUUAAAAAAGUUGUAACUGGUAAAUCUCUGUGAGAGUGCAGCUUUAAGAGGGGCACCCAUUUUGAAACAUGUGUUUCACAGCAUGGAUCAAGCUUUCUUGGUCGAGACACCCUGUGUUACCUAGCCCUGACAACCAUCAAUGCAGGACCUUGCCUUGAGGACAUGGAUUUGGAAGACUCGUGCAAAGUCAUCGAAAAUGAGUGGUCGUGAUGUUGGAUCCUGCUUGUGGAGAAGUGGCUGAAAUAUCUCAAUUUGGGACUGCCGGGCCUCUGGAAUUCACCUCAUCAUCAUCACUGGUGACAACAAGGCUACUAUUGAAGCUAUCUUUGAAAGAAUCGGAAUCUUCAGUGAGACAUAAUCAAUGUCUGUCAUUUAUGGGCCGCAAGUUGGAUGAUUUGCCCCUGAUGACCAGAAGUCAGCGUGUAUGAGAGCCUGUCUAUUCGCCAGUGUUAAACGCGCACAUAAGAGCUAGAUCUUGGAGAACCUGC